UUAAGCGACUAAGCGUACACGGUGGAUGCCCUGGCAGUCAGAGGCGAUGAAGGACGUGCUAAUCUGCGAAAAGCGUCGGUAAGGUGAUAUGAACCGUUAUAACCGGCGAUGUCCGAAUGGGGAAACCCAGUGCAAUUCGUUGCACUAUCGUUAACUGAAUACAUAGGUUAACGAGGCGAACCGGGGGAACUGAAACAUCUAAGUACCCCGAGGAAAAGAAAUCAACCGAGAUUCCCCCAGUAGCGGCGAGCGAACGGGGAGCAGCCCAGAGUCUGAAUCAGCUUGUGUGUUAGUGGAACGGUCUGGAAAGUCCGACGGUACAGGGUGAUAGUCCCGUACACCAAAAUGCACAGGCUGUGAACUCGAAGAGUAGGGCGGGACACGUGGUAUCCUGUCUGAAUAUGGGGGGACCAUCCUCCAAGGCUAAAUACUCCUGACUGACCGAUAGUGAACCAGUACCGUGAGGGAAAGGCGAAAAGAACCCCGGCGAGGGGAGUGAAAAAGAACCUGAAACCGUGUACGUACAAGCAGUGGGAGCACCUUCGGGUGUGACUGCGUACCUUUUGUAUAAUGGGUCAGCGACUUAUAUUCUGUAGCAAGGUUAACCGUAUAGGGGAGCCGCAGGGAAACCGAGUCUUAACUGGGCGUUAAGUUGCAGGGUAUAGACCCGAAACCCGGUGAUCUAGCCAUGGGCAGGUUGAAGGUUGGGUAACACUAACUGGAGGACCGAACCGACUAAUGUUGAAAAAUUAGCGGAUGACUUGUGGCUGGGGGUGAAAGGCCAAUCAAACCGGGAGAUAGCUGGUUCUCCCCGAAAGCUAUUUAGGUAGCGCCUCGUGAAUUCAUCUUCGGGGGUAGAGCACUGUUUCGGCUAGGGGGUCAUCCCGACUUACCAACCCGAUGCAAACUACGAAUACCGAAGAAUGUUAUCACGGGAGACACACGGCGGGUGCUAACGUCCGUCGUGAAGAGGGAAACAACCCAGACCGCCAGCUAAGGUCCCAAAGUCAUGGUUAAGUGGGAAACGAUGUGGGAAGGCACAGACAGCCAGGAUGUUGGCUUAGAAGCAGCCAUCAUUUAAAGAAAGCGUAAUAGCUCACUGGUCGAGUCGGCCUGCGCGGAAGAUGUAACGGGGCUAAACCAUGCACCGAAGCUGCGGCAGCGACACUAUGUGUUGUUGGGUAGGGGAGCGUUCUGUAAGCCUGCGAAGGUGUGCUGUGAGGCAUGCUGGAGGUAUCAGAAGUGCGAAUGCUGACAUAAGUAACGAUAAAGCGGGUGAAAAGCCCGCUCGCCGGAAGACCAAGGGUUCCUGUCCAACGUUAAUCGGGGCAGGGUGAGUCGACCCCUAAGGCGAGGCCGAAAGGCGUAGUCGAUGGGAAACAGGUUAAUAUUCCUGUACUUGGUGUUACUGCGAAGGGGGGACGGAGAAGGCUAUGUUAGCCGGGCGACGGUUGUCCCGGUUUAAGCAUGUAGGCUGGUUGUCCAGGCAAAUCCGGAUAAUCAAGGCUGAGGUGUGAUGACGAGGCACUACGGUGCUGAAGUAACAAAUGCCCUGCUUCCAGGAAAAGCCUCUAAGCAUCAGGUAACAUCAAAUCGUACCCCAAACCGACACAGGUGGUCAGGUAGAGAAUACCAAGGCGCUUGAGAUAACUCGGGUGAAGGAACUAGGCAAAAUGGUGCCGUAACUUCGGGAGAAGGCACGCUGGUGUGUAGGUGAAGCCCCUGCGGGUGGAGCUGAGACCAGUCGAAGAUACCAGCUGGCUGCAACUGUUUAUUAAAAACACAGCACUGUGCAAACACGAAAGUGGACGUAUACGGUGUGACGCCUGCCCGGUGCCGGAAGGUUAAUUGAUGGGGUUAUCCGUAAGGAGAAGCUCUUGAUCGAAGCCCCGGUAAACGGCGGCCGUAACUAUAACGGUCCUAAGGUAGCGAAAUUCCUUGUCGGGUAAGUUCCGACCUGCACGAAUGGCGUAAUGAUGGCCAGGCUGUCUCCACCCGAGACUCAGUGAAAUUGAACUCGCUGUGAAGAUGCAGUGUACCCGCGGCAAGACGGAAAGACCCCGUGAACCUUUACUAUAGCUUGACACUGAACAUUGAGCCUUGAUGUGUAGGAUAGGUGGGAGGCUUUGAAGCGUGGACGCCAGUCUGCGUGGAGCCAACCUUGAAAUACCACCCUUUAAUGUUUGAUGUUCUAACGUUGGCCCCUUACCGGGGUUGCGGACAGUGUCUGGUGGGUAGUUUGACUGGGGCGGUCUCCUCCCAAAGCGUAACGGAGGAGCACGAAGGUUAGCUAAUCCUGGUCGGACAUCAGGAGGUUAGUGCAAUGGCAUAAGCUAGCUUGACUGCGAGCGUGACGGCGCGAGCAGGUGCGAAAGCAGGUCAUAGUGAUCCGGUGGUUCUGAAUGGAAGGGCCAUCGCUCAACGGAUAAAAGGUACUCCGGGGAUAACAGGCUGAUACCGCCCAAGAGUUCAUAUCGACGGCGGUGUUUGGCACCUCGAUGUCGGCUCAUCACAUCCUGGGGCUGAAGUAGGUCCCAAGGGUAUGGCUGUUCGCCAUUUAAAGUGGUACGCGAGCUGGGUUUAGAACGUCGUGAGACAGUUCGGUCCCUAUCUGCCGUGGGCGCUGGAGAAUUGAGGGGGGCUGCUCCUAGUACGAGAGGACCGGAGUGGACGCAUCACUGGUGUUCGGGUUGUCAUGCCAAUGGCACUGCCCGGUAGCUAAAUGCGGAAGAGAUAAGUGCUGAAAGCAUCUAAGCACGAAACUUGCCCCGAGAUGAGUUCUCCCUGAGACUUUAAGUCUCCUGAAGGAACGUUGAAGACGACGACGUUGAUAGGCCGGGUGUGUAAGCGCAGCGAUGCGUUGAGCUAACCGGUACUAAUGAACCGUGAGGCUUAACCUU
rnacentral:rRNA from 4 species